rnacentral:pre_miRNA from 1 species
UGAGUACUCCCUUCGUUCGAAAAUACUUGUCGGGAAAAUGGAUGUAUCUAGAUGUAUUUUAAUUCUAGAUACAUUCAUUUUCGCGACAAGUAAUUCUGGACGGAGGGAGUAGUAC